UGGCGGCAUGCUUAACACAUGACAGUACGACGACGAAAGUCCGUUCGGGGCGAGUAGAGUGGCGGACGGGUGAGUAACGCGUGGGAAUCUACCCUAGAGCGGGGACACCGGGGAAACCCGGGCUAAUACCGCAUACGUCCUACGGGAGAAAGAGGGCCUCUGCUUGCACGCUCUCACUCCAGGAUGAGCCCGCGUCCCAUCAGCUAGUUGGUAAGGUAAUGGCUUACCAAGGCCACGAUCGGUAGCUGGUCUGAGAGGAUGAUCAGCCACACUGGGACUGAGACACGGCCCAGACUCCUACGGGAGGCAGCAGUGGGGAAUAUUGGACAAUGGGCGCAAGCCUGAUCCAGCAAUGCCGCGUGUGUGAAGAAGGCCUGCGGGUUGUAAAGCACUUUCAGUGGGGAAGAACAGAUUCGGGUCAAUACCCCGGAGCCCUGACGUUACCCACAGAAGAAGCACCGGCUAACUCCGUG
rnacentral:rRNA from 1 species